rnacentral:rRNA from 1 species
GACGAACGCUGGCGGUGUGCUUAACACAUGCAAGUGGUGCGACGAACCAGAGCUUGCUCUGGGGCAAAGCCGCGAACGGGUGAGUAACACGUGGGUAAUCUACCCCGAUGACCGGGACAACCCCGAGGAAACUCGGGCUAAUACCGGAUGUGGUACGGAGACAUAAGUCUCUUUACUAAAGGUAGCUUCGGCUUCCGCAUUGGGAGGGGCCCGCGGCCCAUUAGCUAGUUGGUGGGGUCAAGGCCUACCAAGGCAACGAUGGGUAGCUGGUCUGAGAGGACGAUCAGCCACACUGGGACUGAGACACGGCCCAGACUCCUACGGGAGGCAGCAGUGGGGAAUCUUGCGCAAUGCGCGAAAGCGUGACGCAGCAACACCGCGUGAGGGAAGACGGCCUUAGGGUUGUAAACCUCUUUCAGAUGGGACGAAGGUGAUGCGGUGAAUAGCCGAUGUCAUUGACGGUACCGUCAGAAGAAGCUCCGGCGUAACUACGUGCCAGCAGCCGCGGUAAU